rnacentral:lncRNA from 1 species
GGUUGACGUGGCCUUGGUGCCCAUGGCACCUGGCCGUGGGUCACACUGGUGUGGGUCCCCGGGGGGUGGCAGGGCCCCAGAGGUGUGACAGUGUCCCUGAGAGCCACGACAGGGUCUCCAAGGAAGGAUCCCAGGGGCUGUGCUGGGGCGCCAGGGGGUGUGUCACCAUCAAGGGGGGUGUCCCACCAUCCCCGUCAGCGUGCCUGCCUCCCCAGGGGCUGUGCCAGCGUCCCCAGUAGCUGUGCCAGGUUCCCAAGGGCUGUGCCAGGUCCCCGGGGGGGUGUGUUGGUGUCCCCGGGGGGUGCCAGUAUCCCCGGGGACCGUGCCAGUGUCGUCAGGGAGUGUGCCAGGUUCCCAAGGGCUGUGCCAGGUUCCCAGCAGGGUGGCAGUGUCCCCGGGGGGGUGUGUGUUGUUGUGUUGUCCCCAGUGCACGCACCAGGGUGCUCGGCAGCGUGCCAGUGUCCCCGCAGCUGUGCCAGGUCCCCGUGGGGUGGUGGUGUCCUCGGGGGGGGUGUUGGCAUUCCCAGGGGUGUGUUAUUGUCCCCACAGCACGUACCAGGGUGCCCGGCAAUGUGCCAGUGUCCCCAGGGCUGUGCCAGGUCCUGGGACGGGCCGGCACGGGGUGAUAGGGACAGCACGGGGGGGUCUCGGUGCGACGGGGGGACAGAGCCACUAUCGGGGGGACCGAGGAGCUGUCAGGGGGACUGAGGUGCUAUCGGGUGCUGGCAGCCCCGGGCAUCCACGGGUGCUCCCGGGAGAUUAGCAGGGGGGGUGUGUGGGGCUGUGGGGGUGCGCCCAGGCCACCCUGCCGGGGUUCAAACGCUGUGGUGGCGGUGACAGUGACAACGGGGGGCCCUGGCCUCGUGCAGGUGAGGGGUGCAGGAGGGGGGUCAGCGGGCAUGGUUGUGUGUGCGUGCCUGUGAACAUGUGUGUGUGCACGUGAACAUGUGCGUGAGCAUGUGAACAUGCGUGUGUGCAUGUGAACGUGUGUGUCGUGUGAACAUGUGUGUGCGCACAUGUAAACGUGUGUGCGCAUGUGAACGUGUGUGCGUGCA